CCUACGGGGGGCUGCAGUGGGGAAUAUUGGACAAUGGGGGGAACCCUGAUCCAGCCAUGCCGCGUGUGUGAAGAAGGCCCUCGGGUUGUAAAGCACUUUCAGUGAGGAAGAACGCCUGGUGGUUAAUACCCAUCAGGAAAGACAUCACUCACAGAAGAAGCACCGGCUAACUCCGUGCCAGCAGCCGCGGUAAUACGGAGGGUGCGAGCGUUAAUCGGAAUUACUGGGCGUAAAGCGCGCGUAGGUGGCUUGAUAAGCCGGUUGUGAAAGCCCCGGGCUCAACCUGGGAACGGCAUCCGGAACUGUCAAGCUAGAGUGCAGGAGAGGAAGGUAGAAUUCCCGGUGUAGCGGUGAAAUGCGUAGAGAUCGGGAGGAAUACCAGUGGCGAAGGCGGCCUUCUGGACUGACACUGACACUGAGGUGCGAAAGCGUGGGUAGCAAACAGGAUUAGAUACCCCUGUAGUC
rnacentral:rRNA from 1 species